AGGAGAGUGUUUGUGAAGGUGAAAGCAUGUAUUUUCUCAUGCAAGUUUUCCUUAAUAAACAAAUCAUCCUCCAAUUACCAGAACUGAUUGCACGCAGAAGAUCGUUCGAAAAACUUUCUGCUCAACACCUGCUAUUCUGGUCCUGGCUUUUGUAGUCACUGCAAAUACGGAACACUGAUCCUGAGAUCCUCCCAGGGUAAGAAAACUGGCCGUCAGUCUGUUCUUCUCACCGAGUCCACUAAGCUGCAGGACAGCUACAAGGAUGGGUAUAGAACACACCUUUCUAUAAAAAAAGGAAGCAAAGCAACCUGAGGAGGGAAGGCGUUUUGUACCAGCUUCUUGAGCUGCACACACGCCUAUCACACAUUCCCACAGAGCUUGGAGGUACUUUGGAACACCAGCAUCUGAAUGCAGCAGUAGUUUAUGGCUCACAUCCUCUACUGAAACUACUUGUGUAAUUGCAGUCACUCAGAGUUGUCUGUCCACUUUUCUCCACUUGGUAGCAAUUGCCAUAUGUAAAGCUAAUAGAAAAGGAUUUCCUUCUUCUGCCUUCAUAAGUCAGAAGAAAGAAAAUCUGCAUAGAUUGUGAUGAACUUGUAUUUGUAUUGUUGAUACAAAUCUAUAAUUGUAUUAUCCUGAGAAAUUCCUUAUGACAUAGUAUGCUAAGAAAUUACUCACAUGAAUUCUGUUCCAAAUCAGGAGAAAUAUACUUUAAAUGAAUGUACCUGAUAUAAUUAUUUCUAGAUUUGUCUUAGAAAAUCCUUAAUGCAUGAAAAAAAAUCACGCAAUACAGUUGCUUUAACCUACUAAAGGAACUAAAUUAGUAAGACUGCAUAUAGACCCCAUGGAGAAAGAUCAGAGAAAUCUCAGACUCCAUCAAGGAAGCUCAUCAGUCCAAUACUGUUUUUGGAAAGGAAUUUGGAGUCCUUCUGGAGACAUGUGGGCUCAAAGAACACUCAUAGCUGGCCUGAGAAGUUCACAUUCAUUCUUGCUGGGCUUUGUGUGGAAAAGACACCAGUAUCAUUUGUCAGUGCUCAUUUACAUUUUUAGGGUUAUGUUUGACCAGGAAAGGAUGACAACUUUCCUUUGUCAGAAACCAAAACUAAUAAACUUCCUUACUGAACUGUUCUUGGUCUUUGGCAAGCACUUGAUAGAUCAUACAAAAGAUACA